rnacentral:rRNA from 1 species
GACGAACGCUGGCGGCGUGCUUAACACAUGCAAGUCGAACGAUGAAGCCGGAGCUUGCUCUGGUGAAUUAGUGGCGAACGGGUGAGUAACACGUGAGUAACCUGCCCUUGACUCUGGGAUAACUGCGGGAAACUGUAGCUAAUACCGGAUACGACCCUCGGAGGCAUCUCCUGGGGGUGGAAAGAAUUUCGGUCAAGGAUGGACUCGCGGCCUAUCAGCUAGUUGGUGAGGUAAAGGCUCACCAAGGCGACGACGGGUAGCCGGCCCGAGAGGGUGACCGGCCACACUGGGACUGAGAUACGGCCCAGACUCCUACGGGAGGCAGCAGUGGGGAAUAUUGCACAAUGGGGGCAAGCCUGAUGCAGCGACGCCGCGUGAGGGAUGACGGCCUUCGGGUUGUAAACCUCUUUCAGCACCGACGAAGCGCAAGUGACGGUAGGUGCAGAAGAAGGACCGGCCAACUACGUGCCAGCAGCCGCGGUAA